UUUGACCUCGGAUCAGGUAGGGAUA
rnacentral:ncRNA from 5 species